rnacentral:lncRNA from 1 species
AGGACAGUGCCAUAACCAUCACAAGUUCAUCACAGUCCAGUGGGACCACCCAAAUGGUCGUCUCGCCCGACGAUCCCCGCCCGACCCCCAGUGACGUGGCGGCAGAUGUACGGAAUUGGGUGUAUUUACCUAGUUAUUAUCACUCUGAUGAUUUUACAAGCUCUGAUAUGAGCCUUAACGCAGUGAACGGUACUCGGCUGCCUAACAUACAGCCAAUACCCAGGCGUCGAGAGACGGUAAUCCUAAAUAAGAAAGCCAUGGAUAUAUAUCUGGCAGGGACUACAGGCGGGUAAUAAUAAUAAUAAUAUAAGCC